rnacentral:rRNA from 1 species
UACGUAGGGUGCGAGCGUUGUCCGGAAUUAUUGGGCGUAAAGCGUGCGUAGGUGGUGAGUUAAGUCUGUCGUGAAAGCCCCCGGGCUCAACCUGGGAAUGGCGAUGGAUACUGGCUCGCUAGAGUGCGGUAGAGGAGAGUGGAAUUCCCGGUGUAGCAGUGAAAUGCGUAGAGAUCGGGAGGAACAUCAGUUGCGAAGGCGGCUCUCUGGACCAGCACUGACACUGAGGCACGAAAGCGUGGGGAGCAAACAGG